rnacentral:rRNA from 1 species
CCUACGGGAGGCAGCAGUGGGGGAUAUUGCACAAUGGGGGAAACCCUGAUGCAGCGACGCCGCGUGAGUGAAGAAGUAUUUCGGUAUGUAAAGCUCUAUCAGCAGGGAAGAAAAAAGACGGUACCUGACUAAGAAGCCCCGGCUAACUACGUGCCAGCAGCCGCGGUAAUACGUAGGGGGCAAGCGUUAUCCGGAUUUACUGGGUGUAAAGGGAGCGUAGACGGCAAUACAAGUCGGAAGUGAAAUACCCGGGCUUAACCUGGGAACUGCUUUGGAAACUGUAUGGCUGGAGUGCUGGAGAGGUAAGCGGAAUUCCUAGUGUAGCGGUGAAAUGCGUAGAUAUUAGGAGGAACACCAGUGGCGAAGGCGGCUUACUGGACAGUAACUGACGUUGAGGCUCGAAAGCGUGGGGAGCAAACAGGAUUAGAUACCCUAGUA